rnacentral:rRNA from 1 species
GAUGAACGCUGGCGGCGUGCCUAAUACAUGCAAGUCGAGCGAACGGACGAGAAGCUUGCUUCUCUGAUGUUAGCGGCGGACGGGUGAGUAACACGUGGAUCACCUACCUAUAAGACUGGGAUAACUUCGGGAAACCGGAGCUAAUACCGGAUAAUAUUUUGAACCGCAUGGUUCAAAAGUGAAAGACGGUCUUGCUGUCACUUAUAGAUGGAUCCGCGCUGCAUUAGCUAGUUGGUAAGGUAACGGCUUACCAAGGCAACGAUGCAUAGCCGACUGAGAGGGUGAUCGGCCACACUGGAACUGAGACACGGUCCAGACUCCUACGGGAGGCAGCAGUAGGGAAUCUUCCGCAAUGGGCGAAAGCCUGACGGAGCAACGCCGCGUGAGUGAUGAAGGUCUUCGGAUCGUAAAACUCUGUUAUUAGGGAAGAACAUAUGUGUAAGUAACUGUGCACAUCUUGACGGUACCUAAUCAGAAAGCCACGGCUAACUACGUG